AAAAAAUUAGUUAAGUAAAUAACAUUAAUUUGUCAAAUUAAAGUAAUUAAUUUUAAUAUUUUUUU
rnacentral:tRNA from 1 species